UCCGGCUUAUCACCGGCGGUUUCUUUAGAGUGCCCAACUAAAUGAUGGCAACUAAAGACGAGGGUUGCGCUCGUUGCGGGACUUAACCCAACAUCUCACGACACGAGCUGACGACAGCCAUGCACCACCUGUGAUCGCGUCCCGAAGGAAAGGUGUGUUUCCACACCGGUCGCGAACAUGUCAAGCCCAGGUAAGGUGGGGAUGACGUCGGAGAGUACGUCC
rnacentral:misc_RNA from 1 species